CUCGUAGGCGGUUCGUCGCGUCCGGUGUGAAAGUCCAUCGCUUAACGGUGGAUCUGCGCCGGGUACGGGCGGGCUGGAGUGCGGUAGGGGAGACUGGAAUUCCCGGUGUAACGGUGGAAUGUGUAGAUAUCGGGAAGAACACCAAUGGCGAAGGCAGGUCUCUGGGCCGUUACUGACGCUGAGGAGCGAAAGCGUGGGGAGCGUACA
rnacentral:rRNA from 1 species